AUGAACGCUGGCGGCGUGCCUAAUACCUGCAAGUCGAGCGAACGGACGAGGAGCUUGCUUCUCUGAUGUUAGCGGCGGACGGGUGAGUAACACGUGGAUAACCUACCUAUAAGACUGGGAUAACUUCGGGAAACCGGAGCUAAUACCGGAUAAUAUAUUGAACCGCAUGGUUCAAUAGUGAAAGACGGUUUUGCUGUCACUUAUAGAUGGAUCCGCGCCGCAUUAGCUAGUUGGUAAGGUAACGGCUUACCAAGGCAACGAUGCGUAGCCGACCUGAGAGGGUGAUCGGCCACACUGGAACUGAGACACGGUCCAGACUCCUACGGGAGGCAGCAGUAGGGAAUCUUCCGCAAUGGGCGAAAGCCUGACGGAGCAACGCCGCGUGAGUGAUGAAGGUCUUCGGAUCGUAAAACUCUGUUAUUAGGGAAGAACAAAUGUGUAAGUAACUAUGCACGUCUUGACGGUACCUAAUCAGAAAGCCACGGCUAACUACGUG
rnacentral:rRNA from 1 species